AAAGUCUCGGGUCACGCAGCGACUCGUUUCAUCGACUCACAACGCAGCUUUGUCUGCUAUGACGUUUCUUUGGUUCUAGGCAAGUUGGUGUCCCCUUUCUAUCCGUCAAAAGCUUCGGCCAAGAUGACGUACGGCGGCGACGGUUGGUUGUUUUGCAUUUAGGUCUUUCAAAUUUAUAGCUUUAUUUAUCGUGGGGUCCUUUCUGCAAGGUGUUGUGCCAAUGAUCUUGUGAUUGUCUCUAGAUC
rnacentral:lncRNA from 1 species